rnacentral:rRNA from 1 species
GCGAACGCUGGCGGCAGGCUUAACACAUGCAAGUCGAGCGGGCGUAGCAAUACGUCAGCGGCAGACGGGUGAGUAACACGUGGGAACGUACCUUUGGUUCGGAACAACACAGGGAAACUUGUGCUAAUACCGGAUAAGCCCUUACGGGGAAAGAUUUAUCGCCAAAAGCUCGGCCCGCGUCUGAUUAGCUUGUUGGUGAGGUAACGGCUCACCAAGGCGACGAUCAGUAGCUGGCUGAGAGGAUGAUCAGCCACACUGGGACUGAGACACGGCCCAGACUCCUACGGGAGGCAGCAGUGGGGAAUAUUGGACAAUGGGCGAAAGCCUGAUCCAGCCAUGCCGCGUGAGUGAUGAAGGCCC